rnacentral:rRNA from 1 species
GAGUUUGAUCAUGGCUCAGGACGAACGCUGGCGGCGUGCUUCAUACAUGCAAGUCGAGCGGAAGGGCCCUUCGGGGUACUCGAGCGGCGAACGGGUGAGUAACACGUGAGCAACCUACCCUUGGCUCUGGGAUAACUCCUCGAAAGAGGUGCUAAUACCGGAUAUGACUUCCUUCGACAUCGUCGGAAGUGGAAAGUUUUUCGGCCAAGGAUGGGCUCGCGGCCUAUCAGCUUGUUGGUGAGGGUAACGGCCCACCAAGGCUUCGACGGGUAGCCGGCCUGAGAGGGCGAUCGGCCACACUGGGACUGAGACACGGCCCAGACUCCUACGGGAGGCAGCAGUAGGGAAUAUUGCGCAAUGGGCGAAAGCCUGACGCAGCAACGCCGCGUGAGGGAUGAAGGCCUUAGGGUCGUAAACCUCUUUCGGCAGGGACGAAGCGAAAGUGACGGUACCUGCAAAAGAAGCACCGGCCAACUACGUGCCAGCAGCCGCAGU